GUUCGGAUCCGUCUCUUGCCUCUCCCGCUUUCGCGCGCUUCCAGCUCUCCCGCCAGUGCUCUCCACCACCAUCGCCGCUAGCUCUCCACCACCAUCGCCGCUCGCUCUCCAGCCGGCGACCUCCACCACCACUGUCGUGUCCCGAAGAGAUCUUCUCCAGAGCCAGGGGCGCUGUCAGAGAAGAAAGAGGAAGAAGCAGAAAGAACAUGGUCAUCGAUUCUUUUGAGUCUUUGUGGAUGUUGGGUUUGGCGUGAGAGCGAUAGCGGCACAUUACAUAGGGAGGCAUAUAGGAAUCAUGUGACCCUAGACAGCUUGCGAGAUCACUCUCUCCAUCUACCUCAGCGCCCGUCCGAGUAGCAGAUUGAUCACCGUGCCUUUCACCGGACCUCAUAUCUUCUCAACGUUGUUUUCCUUCCUACUGUUGUUCUAUCCGACGCUUUCUAGGGUUUCAAUACUUUGACCGAAUAUGGUUUGCAUGAGAAAACUCAGUUCUCUAGUUUGGCACAGAGAGCGAUGGAAGGAGGGAAGACGAAGCGAAGCUACCGGCCGUCGAUCAACUCGUUGGACGACGGCUGCCUUAUGCACAUCUUCAGUUUCUUACCUCCACUCUCUGAUCGCUGAUGUGAUAUUUCCAACUCGAGCUGAAGAGUCAAGAAGAAAGCCGAUUUAAGGAAGAUGGGAAGGAGGUGUCUGCUGAAGCAGUAAAUCAGAUGCUAGGUAUCUCUUGUAAACCUGAUAAAGUGUCAUGAACUUCCUAACAAUCUGUUCUUUUGGUUUUUGUGUGGACUUAGCUGCAAAGCUUUCUUUUGCAUUUUAUCUUCUAUCUUCGGUGGUACCCCAUGGGUGUGUGUCAGAUUAUGUGUAUGAAUGGCAAAUGCAUGUCUUAUGUGCCACUUGCAUGUACAUACAGUUCAAAUGCAUGUGUCAUUCAUGUGUAAACAUGCAUGUGUGAUGGGAGCAAAUCUAUAAUGUUGUUCUUUCAUCUUUAAAGGUAAUAUCUAUUAGUUGUCAGUCCUGUACACUUCUUUAUCACUUGCUGAAGGGAUUAAGUCCUCAUUCUCUUUGAUAUGUUAAAGCUGAACUUAUGCUUCAAAAAGGAUCUCGUAGCCUAGUUGUAGGCAUAGGGUCUAUGACAGAAAUUAUGAGUUGUCAUCUACUGCUCCGAUGGAUUAGGUUGAUAGUUUUGAUGGUUACUGGAACAUUGAACACAAAAUUCUCUAAAUUCAAAUAAAAAUUAGAUCUGACAAAGAACUUUAGAUCAUUAGAUAUGCAAAAACAAAACAGUUUUUGUUUCAUUUACAUCAUAAACUUACUUUUUUAAGAAAUAUCAGCAUUGUCAGCACCAUUGGCGGCCGCUACCUCAUGAAGUGGCUGGGAUCUUUCCAGGCCUUCUUGACCAUGAUUGCUGGCAUCUACUUUGCAGCCGCCGUUUUCCUGAACCUCUUCGCCACAACAUAGUGACUCUUCUAGAGUCCUUAGAAACGUAUCUUGCUGGGUAUAGUCAAGUCAAAUGUGUAAUUGUGUAUAAACAACUUAAACUUUUUUUUGAGUUGAAGUCUAAGUCAUACGAGUGCUUUAAAAUGAAAGUUUGUAUAUUUUUCUCAAACACUUGGUCUCGUAAUCUUUUGUAUGAUUUUGCUUAAUUUCUUAAAUAUUUUUUUGAAUGUUUCUCAAGAAGAUGCAAAUUUUUACCACUGGUUGUUUAAAUGUGUGAGAAUUUUUCAAAAUUUCAGAGAUUUUUUUUUAAAUGUAUGCCAAUGAUUAUUAAAGGCCUAGUGCACCUUUCAUGCCUUUGAUAAAUUAUUGGAAAUUUUCUUGUCAAUUUUUCUUUUUUGUAUUUGCAUGGCUUACGAAAGUGUUAACAUAAAUUUUGGAAAGUUAAUCUUUUAAACAUUUAUUGUAAAUGUUCAGAAAACUCUUGUGGACUCUUGUGCGUAUUUAUGUGCCCAUGAAAUCAAUUGGGAGCAUGGAUGAAUAUGUAGGCAUGAACUUGCGAAUGGCUUGUGCAGGUUCUUGUAUUACAUUGUUAUGUGAAUGGCAUUUUUGCUAGAGUUUUAGUUGUUUCCUUCAUUCUGAAUUGAGGUAAACAUUUUUCAGCUUCGUCUUGUUUCUCACAUCUAUUGUCAUAUUGGACUCUUUGUGACCGUGUUAUCUGCACACUCUCCUCAUUUGUUUCUUUGUCACUCAUGCUCAAAUCUGUGAAUGAGUGUUGGUUUUAGUUCAGUCCUAAGGAACUUUCCUUCUGCUGUUGAGAUUGAUGAACACAUGUAUCUUCUGAAAUUGCUUAUGUUUUCUAGGGGAUAACUUGGUAAUUCCUAGUGCAAAAAAAAGAAAAUUGAUUCUUGUUGAUGCAUGAAUUUGUCUUGACAAAAUGGAAAUUCUGAUAAAAGCAUAAUAAAAAAAAAUAAAGGUUGAAAACAUAAUAAAAGCCAUGACAACUUUUAUUCUUGCAUAAUUGGUUGAAGAAAUCAACCUUCACUCUUAUUUCUUGUUCUUCCUUUUGAUUUCUGAUGCAGUUUCGAUAUGUUCUUGAUGUUUUUUUUGGUAAUUUUGUUUCCUGUUGAGGUAUUCCUCUGAUUCCUUUGUGGCAAAUUCUAUUCAUUAUCUUGUUUAUAAUCACCGGUUUAAUAAUUCUUGUACAAGUGCCACCUCGCCAAGUGGUUGGGCCCUUCCAGUUGAAGGAGGCCAAAGAUGUUGUGUCUCAAGUUAGUUGGCAUCAAAACAAGUGAAAAUCAGGUUGUCUAUGGCUAAAUUGUCAUUUCCAGUUGGGUUUUGGGAUGUUUUCCUUUUUGCAGCUUUAUGUGGAGUGUCAUGAGUUACUUAUCAAGAAAUGAAAAUAAAUGUCUGAUUUUCUAUUA